rnacentral:rRNA from 1 species
AAUAUUUGACAAUGGGCGAAAGCCUGAUCCAGCCAUGCCGCGCGUGUGAAGAAGGUCUUCGGAUUGUAUAGCACUCUAAGUUGGGAGGAAGGGAUGUAGUUCAAUUCUUUGCAAUUUUGACGUUACCGACAGAAUAAGCACCGGCCAACUUCGUGCGUGCAGCCGCGGUAAUACGAAGGGUGCAAGCGUUAAUCGGAAUUACUGGGCGUAAAGCGCGCGUAGGUGGUUCGUUAAGUUAGAUGUGAAAGCCCCGGGCUCAACCUGGGAACUGCAUCCAAAACUGGCGGGCUAGAGUACGGUAGAGGGUGGUAGAAUUUCAUGUGUAGCGGUGAAAUGCGUAGAUAUAGGAAGGAACACCAGUGGCGAAGGCAACCACCUGGACUGAUACUGACACUGAGGUGCGAAAGCGUGGGGAGCAAACAGG